rnacentral:ncRNA from 2 species
CAAGAUAUAUCCAGAGAGAGUGCAAACCACCGAAGAGGCAAGUUGCAAAGCGCAAUGAAUCUUUCAGGUAAAAGGAUGGAUAUAUUGGG